rnacentral:rRNA from 1 species
CCUGAGUACGACGGAGCACGUGAAAUUCCGUCGGAAUCUGGGAGGACCAUCUCCUAAGGCUAAAUACUCUCUAGUGACCGAUAGUGAACCAGUACCGUGAGGGAAAGGUGAAAAGUACCCCGGAAGGGGAGUGAAAGAGAACUUGAAACCGUGUGCUUACAAGUAGUCAGAGCCCGUUAAUGGGUGAUGGCGUGCCUUUUGUAGAAUGAACCGGCGAGUUACGAUCUGAUGCAAGGUUAAGCAGAAAAUGUGGAGCCGUAGCGAAAGCGAGUCUGAAUAGGGCGAAUGAGUAUUUGGUCGUAGACCCGAAACCAGGUGAUCUACCCUUGGUCAGGUUGAAGUUCAGGUAACACUGAAUGGAGGACCGAACCGACUUACGUUGAAAAGUGAGCGGAUGAACUGAGGGUAGCGGAGAAAUUCCAAUCGAACUUGGAGAUAGCUGGUUCUCUCCGAAAUAGCUUUAGGGCUAGCCUCAAGUGAUGAUUAUUGGAGGUAGAGCACUGUUUGGACGAGGGGCCCCUCUCGGGUUACCGAAUUCAGACAAACUCCGAAUGCCAAAUAAUUUAACUUGGGAGUCAGAAUGUGGGUGAUAAGGUCCAUAUUCGAAAGGGAAACAGCCCAGACCACCAGCUAAGGUCCCAAAAUAUAUGUUAAGUGGAAAAGGAUGUGGCGUUGCCCAGACAACUAGGAUGUUGGCUUAGAAGCAGCCAUCAUUUAAAGAGUGCGUAAUAGCUCACUAGUCGAGUGACACUGCGCCGAAAAUGUACCGGGGCUAAACAUAUUACCGAAGCUGUGGAUUGUCCUUUGGACAAUGGUAGGAGAGCGUUCUAAGGGCGUUGAAGCAUGAUCGCAAGGACAUGUGGAGCGCUUAGAAGUGAGAAUGCCGGUGUGAGUAGCGAAAGACGGGUGAGAAUCCCGUCCACCGAUUGACUAAGGUUUCCAGAGGAAGGCUCGUCCGCUCUGGGUUAGUCGGGUCCUAAGCUGAGGCCGACAGGCGUAGGCGAUGGAUAACAGGUUGAUAUUCCUGUACCACCAUUAUUCGUUUUAAGCGAUGGGGGGACGCAGUAGGAUAGGCGAAGCGUGCUGUUGGAGUGCACGUCCAAGCAGUGAGAUUGAGUGUUAGGCAAAUCCGGCACUCUUAAGAUUGAGCUGUGAUGGGGAGAGGAACUUGUUCCUCGAGUCGUUGAUUUCACACUGCCGAGAAAAGCCUCUAGCUAGAAUAACGGUGCCCGUACCGCAAACCGACACAGGUAGUCAAGAUGAGAAUUCUAAGGUGAGCGAGCGAACUCUCGUUAAGGAACUCGGCAAAAUGACCCCGUAACUUCGGGAGAAGGGGUGCUCUUUGAGGUUCACGCUUCGAAGAGCCGCAGUGAAUAGGCCCAAGCGACUGUUUAUCAAAAACACAGGUCUCUGCUAAACCGUAAGGUGACGUAUAGGGGCUGACGCCUGCCCGGUGCUGGAAGGUUAAGAGGAGUGGUUAGCGCAAGCGAAGCUACGAAUCGAAGCCCCAGUAAACGGCGGCCGUAACUAUAACGGUCCUAAGGUAGCGAAAUUCCUUGUCGGGUAAGUUCCGACCCGCACGAAAGGCGUAACGAUUUGGGCACUGUCUCAACGAGAGACUCGGUGAAAUCAUAGUACCGGUGA